GAUGAAGAACGCAGCAAAAUGCGAUAAGUAAUGUGAAUUGCAGAAUUCAGUGAAUCAUCGAAUCUUUGAACGCACAUUGCGCCCGCCAGUAUUCUGGCGGGCAUGCCUGUUCGAGCGUCAUUUCAACCAUCAAGCCCUCGGGUUUGGUGUUGGGGAUCGGCGAGCCUUUCUGGCAAGCCGGCCCCGAAAUCUAGUGGCGGUCUCGCUGCAGCCUCCAUUGCGUAGUAGUAAAACCCUCGCAACUGGAACGCGGCGCGGCCAAGCCGUUAAACCCCCAACUUCUGAAUGUUGACCUCGGAUCAGGUAGGAAUACCCGCUGAACUUAAGCAUAUCAAUAAGCGGAGGA
rnacentral:misc_RNA from 1 species